UAUACAAUAGCUUUGGGUGGAUGCCUAGGCAGAACAAUAAAGGACGUAUAAUGCAACGAAAAGGUGCGGGGAGGUGCUAUACUCUUUGGAGGUCCCAGUGAUCCGUACAUAUCCUCUUGGAAAACCUAUAUUUUUAAUACUUAGUGAAUUGAAACAUCUUAGUAGCUAAAGGAAAAGAAAUCAACCGAGAUUCCGUAAGUAGUGGUGAAUGAAAGCGGAAAAGGCCAACUUUGAAUAGUUUACAUGGUAAAAAACACAAAAACUGUUUUGGAAAAAGUUGCCAAAGAAGGUGAAAGCCCUGUAAUAAUUUUUCAUGUAAAAUAAAAAAGUUUAUGCAAUGAGUAAAACGAGAAUUUUUCUUGUUUGAAGUUAGGGGGACCACCCUCUAAGCCUAAAUAUUAUUGUUAUGACCGAUAGUGAACAAGUACCGUGAGGGAAAGGUGAAAAGAACCCCAAAUGGGGAGUGAAACAGACUCCUGAAACUCAAAGCUUACAAACAGUUGAAGCUUUGUUUUUUAACAGCCAAUAAAAAAGGAAAACAAAAACAGAGUGACAGCGUACCUUUUGUAUAAUGGGUCAGCGAGUAAAUCAAUAAAGCUAGCUUAAGCCUUUAGGUGGAGGCGUAGUGAAAACAAGUCUAAAGAAGGCUUUUAAAAACAUUAAUAAAAUGCAUGGUAUAAAAGAUAAAACAAUGUUUUUUUGUUUGUUAGAGGUUUUUUUGAUUUGACCCGAAACCGGGUGAUCUAGCCAUGAGCAGGUUGAAGAAAGGGUAACACCUUUUGGAGGACCGAACCCACGUCUGUGGCAAUAGGCGGGGAUGACUUGUGGUUAGGGGUGAAAAGCCAAUCGAACUCGGAGAUAGCUGGUUUUCUACGAAAUCUAUUGAGGUAGAGCGUUAUUAAAAAAAAAGGGGGUAGAGCACUCGAUGGGCAAGGGUGGCCCAAAGCUUUACCGAUCCCAAGGAAACUCCGAAUACCUUUUUUUGAUUAUAGCAGACAGACUUUGGGCGCUAAGGUCCAAAGUCGAAAGGGAAAAAGCCCAGAUCGUACGCUAAGGUCCUUAAACACUUACUUAGUGGUAAAGGAUGUAAUAUAGCGAUGACAACCAGGAGGUGGGCUUGGAAGCAGCCAUCCUUUGAAGAAAGCGUAAUAGCUCACUGGUCUAGUUAAAUUGCACCGAAAAUGUAACGGGGCUCAAGCAAGUUACCGAAGCGACGACAUUCUUGUUCUAUAUUUUUUAUACAAAAAAAAUAACCAAGAAUGGGUAGUAGAACGUUCUGUAAAUUAUCGAAGGUAUAUCGACAGAUAUUACUGGAAAGAUCAGAAGUGAGAAUGCUGACAUGAGUAACGAUAAAUCUUGUGAAAUUCAAGAUCGCCGUAAGUUUGAGGUUUUCCACAGACCGUAAAUCGGUGUGGAUUUAAUCGGCCCCUAAGAAAAGAGCGAAAGCUUUCACGAUGGGUAGAAAUUCCUGAUAGGGAAUACAUCUUUGUAAGUGACGAAAUUCUCCAAAAAAGUAGUAAAAAAUUGUAUAAAACACAAACUUGUUGUGGAUAUUUCCAGGAAAAAGCUUACAAGUAACAAAAACUGAAAAAGUUUUUUACAGACCGUACUUAAACCAACACAGGUAAACUAGUUUUCAACUAAGGCGAUUGAGACAACCAUGUUGAAGGAACUCGGCAAAAUACCUCCGUAACUUCGGGAAAAGGAGGACCCUCUUACUGCUUUUAAAUGCAUAAAAAAGAGGGUGGCACAGAAUAGGGGGUGGCGACUGUUUACUAAAAACACAGGACUCUGCAAAGUGGUAACACUAAGUAUAGGGUCUGACGCCUGCCCGGUGCUGGAAACUUAAGGGGAGAGGUAAAGCAUUAUAUGCCAAGCUUCAAACUCAAGGCCCAGUAAACGGCGGCCGUAACUCUGACGGUCCUAAGGUAGCGAAAUUCCUUGACACCUAAUUAGUGCCCUGCAUGAAUGGCGUCACGACUGCCCCACUGUCUCCAACAUGGACUCAGUGAAAUUGAAUUCUCCGUGAAGAUGCGGAGUACCCGAAAAAAGACGGUAAGACCCUAUGCACCUUUACUAUAGCCUGCCAUUGAAAGAAGAAAUCAAAUGUGUAGAAUAGGUGGGAGUACCGAUUGUUGUUCUAUUUUGAACAAUUAAUUGGUACCAUUUUGAAAUACCACCCUUUUGUUUUCAUCUUUCUAAACCCUUUUAGGGAACAGUGGUUGGUGGGUAGUUUGACUGGGGCGGUCAUUUCCUAAAGAGUAACGGAAAUGUGCGAAGGUAAGCUCCUUCUGGUCGGAAACCAGGUAGAGAGCGCAAUGGUAGAAGCUUGCCUGACUGUGAGACUUACAAGUCGAACAGGGACGAAAGUCGGCCAUAGUGACCCGGGAGCACCGUGUGGAAGGGCUCUCGAUCAACGGAUCAAAGGUACGCUAGGGAUAACAGGCUGAUGACUCCCAAGAGCUCAUAUCGACGGAGUCGUUUGGCACCUCGAUGUCGACUCAUCAUAUCCUGGAGCUGCAGAAGGUUCCAAGGGUUCGGCUGUUCGCCGAUUAAAAUGGUACGUGAGUUGGGUUUAGUGCGUUGAGAAACAGUACGGAUCCUAUCUUUUUCGGGUGUAUUAUAAAUUGAGAGAACCAUUCCUUUGUACGAGAGGACCGGGAAUGAUAAACCUCUGGUUUACUAGUUGUCACAACAGUGGCACAGCUAGGUAGCUACGUUUAGAUUAAAUAACUGCUGAAAGCAUCUAAAGCAGGAAAUUAUUUCUCAAAACAAGUUUCCUUAUUCGUGGAAGAUUACCACGUGAUAGGCGAGAGGUGUAAAAGUAGCAAUAUUUGAGCCUACUCGUACUAAAAUACU
rnacentral:rRNA from 1 species